CAGCAAUAUGAUGUAGGUAUUCAUGAUAUUUCUUUUUAAACUAAGUCAACUUUCAUGGGAGAAGUCCAGUUUAAAACUUUACUAUAAUAAUAACAACUAGUAUUUCUAUAGCACUUUUCUCCCAGUGGGGAGUUUGGGAAGGAGACGUGUGAGUUGAAGCAGAGGCACAGCUAGGGUUGCCACCUGACCAGUAUUUUACCGGCACAACUGAUAUUUGAGGCUGAGUGGCCGGUGCCCCGGUUGCUGGAAUACCAGCAAUUCAGUGGCCGAUAUCUCUGUCCGAUGGAACUCUGAGUGUAUCUCCCAGAUCUGCAUGUAUCUCUCUCCACGUUCCCUAAGACAGACAGAUACUCUCAGAUCGAUAUGUAACUCUGCCCCCUUCCUCCUGUUUGCUCUCCUCUGUGUGUAUUGUGGCUGCCUCCUGCCUACCUUCCCAGCACUGAAGUGAUUAAAAGGCAGAGCAGCUUUUUACAACUCUGCAGUACUCAUUCCUCGCCCCCCCCUUUCCACAAUCGGACACAGGGAGAUAGACUUCUGAGUAAGUAGCCAGGUAUCUCUGCAGGUAGGAUUUAUAGAAGGAGAGCAGACCUGCUCAGUGCUGAAGAUGGGAAUACUUAGGGACAUAAAGAAAAUAUACAGCAAUAUUUAUUUAUGUUUCUUAAUUGCGACUGCAUGUAUGACUGUAUGUCUGAGUCAUGUCUAAGUCUGAAUGUCUGUGUCUGUAUGACUAUGUCUGUAUGUCUAUGUGUGCCUGUAUGUCUGUGUCUGUAUGUAUGUGCCUGUAUGACUGUAUAUGACAUUGUCUGUAUGUUUGUGUCUCUUUGUCUGAGUCUGUAUGUCUCUGUAUGACAGUGUUUCUGUACGUGUGUGUAUGACAGUGUCUGACUAUGUCUGUAUGUCAAUGUAUGUUUGUGUACGACUGUCACUGUAUGCCUGUGUCUGUAUAUCACCGUUCAACUGUAUGUUUGUAUAGGGUAGUGUCUGUGUUACUGUGUUUGUAUCUCACACUAUGAUGGUAUGUCUGUGUAGGAAAGUGUCUGUUUCCCUAUGUCUGUAUGUCUUUGUAUGUCUUUGUAUGAGAGGGUCUUUGUGUCUUUGUAUGUGUAUGUGUAGAUUGUAUGACUAUAUGCCUGUAUUACUGUGUUUGAUUGUGUGUCUUUUUUACGACUGUAUGUAUAUCUUUGUAACUACAUAGCUAAAUCUGUGGUCCUGUAUGGUUGUGUGUCUGUAUGUUUGUGUCUUUGUUCAUAUAUGUCUUUUUGCCUGUAUAUCUAUGUCUGUAUGGCUGGGGAAGAAAGAGACACUCAAAGUGGCUGGAGGGGGAGAGAUAAAGGGACACACAAAGAGGCUGGGGGGAGAAAGGGAUACAGCAAUGGGGCUGUGGAGAAAGAAACACACAAUGGGACUAGGCAGAGUAAGAAACAAAGGAGCAGGGGGGAGUAAGAGACACAAAAUGGGGCUGGUGGGGAAGUAAGAGACACAAAAAGGGUCUGAGGAAGUAAGAGACAGACUAGGAUGAUUGUAGGAAACACACAAGGUGGAUUGUAAGGGGGGAGAAGAUAAACUAAAGGGCCAAAAGGGGGUAAGACAUUGUAUGAGAAACAUAAAAGUGGCUAAAGAAGUUAAGAGAUUCAAAGAGGGGGUUAUGAGACACGUAGGUGAAGAUGCAUUUUUGUGGAGAAGGUGGAAAAAUGCAUCUUUGCUUGUGUAGCCAAAAAUCCUUGCACCGCUCCUGACUACGUCAACAAUCAGACACGGUAUACACAUAAUGACACACUGCCACAAACACACACAGCAUACACAAUCAGAUAUGGUAUACACACAAUGCUACACCCACACUCUGUAUACACAGUAUACACUAUCACACUCACUGCUACGCAUACACAAUGCUAUACACACAAUUAGACAUAGUACACAUUGUAAUUGUAGUUUAGCAAUUUAGGGAACUAUUUUUUUUUCUUGUAUGUCAAAUUCAAUAUACCUUUCGUUCACACACGCUUACUAAGCUUUAAGAUACACCCUCAUUCAAAUACACACACACACUGACAGAUGUCAGAUAUAUCACUUAAUUCACACAUGCUUAAACUCUGCACAAAUACAAAUGCACUCCUCAUUCACAUAUACACUGACACAAGUUUCAAAUACACCUCUCACUCAUACACUGACACAUUUCAGAUACACCCUUUUUUCACAAAUACACACACUGGUAGAUGUCUGAUACAUCCCCUCCUUCACACACUUACACUUUGCACACACACAAAUACACUCCUGCAUUCACAUAUACAGUGCUCAAACAUACUGUAUUCACACACAGACUUUCAACACUAAUACACACUGCAUUCACAUACCAACACUCCCCUAUGUUCACACACAAGUCCUCCACAAAAAUACACCACUACAUUCACAUUCAACAUAAAUACACCCUUACAUUCAAACAUCAAAAUUCCAUACAAAUGCACUCCUGAUUUUACAAAUAUCUAUUCUAUUCACUCAUUCAUUUACACAUUUACACUGCAUGCACGUCUGAAUUAUAUACUCUCUGGCAUUACACAAAUUAUACUAUAGUAUUUACACAUAUCAACAUUACACAAACAUACACUACUACUUUGAUGCAUAGAAUUAUAAUAUGAAAUAUUGAAAGGAAUGCACACAGUAAUCAUUAAAGUAAGAAUUGACAGAAAGUCUAAGUGAAUUUCAAAUGGAAUGCCUGUAUAAUUAAAAUGAACAAUAAAAUUGACUUGGAGAGAUUUUCUAAUAGAACUAUUUAUAGGCCUAUAGUUUAAAUUUCACUUUUCACAGCAAUUCUCACUUAAGAGAAUAACCCUGACUGUGUUUUUUGAACGUUAUAUUUAACAUGUAAUUAAAGGAACACUAUAGUGUAAGGCAUACAAACAUGUAUUCCUGACACUACAGUUUUGAAAGCAUAGUUUAGGUGGCCAGCCCCUCUGUCAGUUUUUGCUCACCUUUAUUCUAGCACUGCCCAUUCUUGUUACAGCUGGCUCCACCCCACUCCGCCUCCUUUGCUGGAAUCAAAUUUUACCACAUGACAGGAGGCUUCAUAUUUUGCAUUAACUUUCUUUAAUAACUCCAUAGUAGCAAAGAAAAAAACAGUUUAAAGAAAGAACCAAUCAGAGUGAGUCAGAGAGUAUAUAAGUCCCAGCCUAGCCAAUCAUUUCCUCUUUCUUUGCUGCUCCAUCACAAAUCAGGUCAGAGUACUGAUUCCUUAACUGUCUUUUAUGUACAUGUUAGUAUGUUAAUAGUAUAGUAUGCAUAGCUGGAUUUAACUGUUUAUAUAUGUACUGGGGGGUGGCAGGGUAACAGUUGGUUCUGGGGAUCCCCCUGCUUCGCCUCAGAUCCGUUAUGUGGGGAAAGCCUCAUUUCCUUUCCCUCCCCUCUUUAUCCUUGAGUGGCUACGUUCGCCACUUUGACAUAAUUUUUUUCCCGCCCUGUUCGUGACUUUUUUCUACAUGAACAGAGCAGGCUAGCUCAGGAUUCGUGCGCGUUUGCCUGCAAUUGCACAAAUGGAGCGGGCAGGCUCUGUUCGUGCCUCUCCUGCACGAACGCGAGGGAAGCCCCAGUGUACUCAGUUUCACGAACGGACUGGGUUCAUAUAAUAACCCAGUCCGUUUGCGGCUUCUCCCUCAGCAGGCGUUCGGCAAAUUAAACAACUCACUAACAGAGCCGUUCUGGAAUUUUUUACCGAACGCCUUAAUGGUUUUCUAAGCCGUUUCCUUCGUGGGCUUUUUUCUUCCUGUUCAUCACGGCGGCCAUUUUGUUGGUGCUACUGUGGGAGUUCAACUCACAGCACUGCAAGACUCAUACAGAGGCCUUCUGACAGCUGGAAGUGAUUACAGAUUUGGAGUGUACAAGGUGGGUGUUAUUACCCUAGGGAGUGGGCAGACAGUUAGGUUUUACCCAGUAACCUGGCUAGGGGUGAGCCCCCAUUUGGCAACGAUCCUUCAGUGCUGCCUAACGGAAACUGUUCAAGCAGUUCCGACCGACUGAGUGAGCCCCAGUGUUACAGAGUCCGCUUGUCGCACGCCACUGGCGACAAUAUAUACGGCCACCGGCCUGUCAUAAGCCCCUCCCACACGAAUCCAAAUCCCACAUAUAUAUAUAUAUAUAUAUAAAUAAAAUAUACAUAUACACAAUCCUGUGCCUGUCAGUGCCCUGACUAUGGAGGAUAAUCAGAACUCAAACGACCUCCAAGCCAUGAUUUAUGCGGGAGUGGCCGCUUCCUUGGAAAAGGCAAUGGCAAAAGUACUAACACCGGCUGCUGAAACUAACAAGCCGGUUAGUAGACAACCUCGUGAUAAAGAAGACUCAGAUGAGUCGGAUGACUCCUCUCAGGAGAAGCACCGCCCGGCUAAACGCCACUGGAAGGGCGAGGUAUCAAAAAAGGCCACUAAUAAAGGCAAGGCGCCUCUGAAGCGCAAUAAACGCCCUAUGGCACCAAAACCCACAUACACCAAGGAAAUCUCCUCGGAUGAGGAAAAAGACAUGCCACAUUCCCUCUCCAUCCUAGAUGAAUGGCAGGCGGAAAUCUCCGACUCGGACAAAGGCGAUUGGGGAUCCAAUGCCUACGUCACGGAGACCUUCCUGGGAGAGCCCCAGGGUAAAGGAGACGAAGAAGCCUCAACCAUCACGCAGGACCAAGAAGUAUUCCUGGACACCACGGGGCACAAAAUGUUCGACCCCAGAAAUAUCCGGGCACCUCCUCAGGUUUCUGCAUUUCUGGUUCCGCAAGCACCUAGAGAAACACUUACGCAAGCGGAUGAGAGCGGAAUACCCAAGACCAUCAUUACCCGAUAAGGUAGCCUUCACACUGGAAUUUGACCAACUUAUGCUAACAUUCAUGGAGGAGGGAGGUCGGGACCCCCACAGAGGGAUAGAGAGGAGUCUAAAAGGCGCACAAGACAAGCUCCUAGCCACGAUGGGGCCAUUGGCCCGUUUAAUGUAUUUGGCGGACAAUGCCUACGCCAGGGUGGACUCUUUUAAUGCAGACAUGAUAAGAGAAUGGGCACAUGACAUCCAAGAAUGGACCCAGAGAGGCUUCUGUUUUCUCGGGAACACCAAUGCGGCCCUCUCCACAGAGACCCCAAACUAGCGGAUCUGGGGGUAAAAGAAUUGGGCCCACAGGCACAGGGCAAGCUCUUCAGGGAGGCCUUCCUCAAAGAGCUCAAUAAACAUGUCAAUGUCUUCACCUCACUAAACAGAGCCCGUUUAUCCAUGCGCAAGGUUUUCUGAGGCAACCUCGCAAGGGGUGUUUUUCCCAGGGCUGGUCGGCAACGGGGCCAUGCCACCAGCCGAUUCUGGCCAUCGGGCCCCCCGCACGGGACACCCACAACAAUUUUACCCGCAACAGGGUUACCAAGACGCAGGCUUUCGACAACGCUACCCCUACUAUCAGAGGGUCACAGACAGAGGACGUGGAUUUCGCAGACGAGCAUGUGCAAGAUUCCCCUCAGGUAAGAAAACAACCCUUAACUAUGUCCCAACUAACCAUGUCUGCAGGCUGUUUUUCUAUCCACAGACGCCUGGGCUCUACAGACGGUCAAAGGGUAUCGCAUCGAAUUACGUACAACCCCGGUACAGAAAUUUCCUCCACAUCCGCUAUAUCUCUCAACCUCAGACAUGCACCUCAUAGAAAUGGAGCUCCGCGAAUUACACGCGAAGGGUGCUAUAGGGCCCGUUCAGGGACGGGGAGGCUUCUUCAACAAUAUAUUCCUCGUCCGCAAGAAAACCGGAGAUUUCAGACCGGUUAUCAAUCUAAGAGAAUUGAAAGCCCACGUGACCUACCGUCACUUCAAAAUGGAGGGCAUACAUUUACUAAGGGACCUCCUUCAAAAUAGGAACUGGUUUACACGUCUGGAUCUCAAAGACGCAUAUCUAUCAAUCCCAAUUCAUGAGGACAGCCGCCCUCUCCUCCGAUUCCUAUGGAACGGCACUCCCUGGCAAUUCACUUGCCUCUCUUCUGGACUGAGCUCGGCACCGUGGUGCUUUACAAAGAUGUUAAAACCAGUAGUCUCUCACCUCGGGACUCGUGGGAUCAGGUGCAUUAUUUACCUAGAUGAGAUACUCUUGUUCUGCAGGACAAGGGAAGUGGCAAUACAACAUACAGAGUACACAGUAAAAUUGUUAGAAUCCCUGGGCUUCAUAGUCAACAGGGCCAAAUCCGCAAUGACACCUGCGCAGAACAUCCAAUUCCUGGGCUUCGAGAUAGACUCCAGGUCUUGCACUCUUCAUCUCCCGUCUACCAAAUUGAUGGCUAUCAAGAAGGAAAUCCGCAGAGUACUCAAAUGGGAUUCCAUCCCUCUCCGACAACUAGCACGGAUUGUUGGCCUACUGUCCUCUUCGAUACAAGCCAUAUUCCCAGGCCCUCUACACUACUGGGCCAUGCAACAAUUGAAAAUCCGCUUCCUACGAAGAAACCCUACGUACAACCAUCCAAUCCCGCUAACGAACGAGGUACGCCAAGAACUCGAAUGGUGGCUCAAUUGCAUGCAAGCUUGGAACGGCCGAGCCAUCUUCGGCACCCACCUGGACUUCGUGCUGGAAUCGGAUGCCAGCUGAUUGGAAUGGGGUGCCACGGAUGGGGAAGCAUCCACAGGAGGAACAUGGACAACCCAAGAACUCUCAAUGCACAUCAACUGUCUGGAACUGCUAGCGGGGUCAUUCGCUAUACGCAGUCUGGCAAAAAGACAAUCCAAUUGUUGUAUAGUGAUGUCCCGAACGGUUCGCCGGCGAAUAGUUCCUGGCGAACAUAGCGUGUUCACGUUCACCACGGACGGCGAACAUAUGCGAUGUUCAGUCCGCCCCCUAUUAAUUUACUAAUACUAAGUAAAAAUUACUUAGUAUUAGUAAAUUGUGCCCCUACUCUCAAUACCGCGAGUAGGGGCAUGUCUAUUAAACAGUGAGCAGCCUACUGUCCCCCCCGGCCCCCACCCCUGCGCGGCGGGUGGGGGCCAUAUUGAUAAUGAGGGGGGGACCUUUUGGGGCUGAAAAAUGAAGAUUUGAGAAAAAAGAAGACGUCUAAUGGUAAGUUUACUUUUAUUUUACAGGUUAGUUAUUUGUGUGAGGGGUGUAGGUAGGGACUUUUUAUUUGGGGGGGUGGGUGACUAGGGGCUUGGGGACCCCUAGUCACCUUGGGGGGGGAAUUUACUUAGGGCCCCCACCCGCAGGUGGGGGCCGGAGGGGGGGGUGGACAGUAGGUCCCCCCCUCAUUAUCAAUAUGGCCCCCACCCACCGCGCAGGGGUGGGGGCCGGGGGGGCAGUAGGUCCCCUCCCUCAUUAUAAAUAUGGCCCCCACCUGCCCACAGGGGUGGGUGCCGGGGGGGCAGUAGGACCCCCCCUUAUUAUUAUUAGGGCCCCCACCCACCGCUUAGGGGUGGGGGCCGGGGGGGACAAUAGGCCCUCCCCUUAUUAUUAGGGCCCCCACCCACCACUCAGGCGUGGGGGCCGGGGGGGGGAGACAAUAGGUCCCCCCCUUAUUGUUAAUUUUAGGGCCCCCACCCACCGCUCAGGGGUGGGGGCUGGGGGGGACAAUAGGUCCCCCCCUUAUUGUUAUUAGGGCCCCCACCCACCGCUCAGGGGUGGGGGCCGGGGGGGAAAAUAGGUCCCCCCUUAUUAUUAUUAGGGCCCCCAACCACCACUCAGGCAUGGGGGCCGGGGGGGUUGGACAGUAGGUCCCCCCCUCAUUAUCAAUAUGGCCCCCACCCACCACGCAGGGGUGGGAGCCAGGGGGGCAGUAGGUCCCCCCUCAUUAUCAAUAUGGCCCCCACCCACCGCUCAGGGGUCCCCCCCUUAUUAUUAUUAGGGCCCCCACCCACCGCUUAGGGGUGGGGGCUGGGGGUGACAAUAGGUCCUCCCCUUAUUAUUAUUAGGGCCCCCACCCACCACUCAGGCGUGGGGGCUGGGGGGGGACAAUAGGUCCUCCCCUUAUUAUUAUUAGGGCCCCCACCCACCACUCAGGCGUGGGGGCUGGGGGGGACAAUAGGUCCCCCCUUAUUGUUAAUUUUAGGGCCCCCACCCACCGCUCAGGGGUGGGGGCUGGGGGGGACAAUAGGUCCCCCCCUUUUUGUUAUUAGGGCCCCCACCCACCGCUCAGGGGUGUGGGCCGGGGGGGACAAUAGGUCCCCCCUUAUUAUUAGGGCCCCCACCCACCGCUCAGGGGUGGGGGCCGCGGGGGACAAUAGGUACCCCCCUUAUUGUUAUUAGGGCCCCACCCACUGCUCAGGGGUGGGGGCCGGGGGGGACAGUAGGUCCCCCCUCAUUAUCUUUAUGGCCCCCACCCGCCACCCAGGGGUGGGGGCCAGGGGGGUAGGAGAGUAGGUCUCCUUCCCCCCCCCCCUUCAACCAGAUAGAGUCCCUGUGUGUUUUAAAAUUUGCCUGCCCAUUGAAGUCUAUGGCGGUUCGCGACAUCACUAUUGUUGUAUACUUCUUCAGAUGGACAACAUCAGCAGUGUGAUACAUCAACCACCUUGGUGGUGCACGCUCCCAAACACUAGUGGAUCUAACGAAGGAAAUCUUCUAUUACUGUCUCCCACGCAACAUUACGAUACAAGCAUAAUACCUACCAGGGGAGUCGAAUCUUACAGCAGAUUGGUACUCCCGACACUGGAGAGACGUCAGCAAUUGGCAACUGGACCCACAGAUAUUUGCCCUCCUGAACGAACAGACGGGGCCCUUCAUACUGGACCUAUUUGUCUCACGCAAAAAUCCCAGACCCGGAAUGCCUAGCAGUCGACGCUUUCACCCAACAAUGGCCACCACGAGGAGCUUAUGCCUUUCCCCCAUUUGCCAUGAUCACGAGGGUUCUCCAUCAUGUUCGGCGACGGGUAGUGAGAUUAACUCUCCUGACACCCAACUGGCCGAGCCAACCCCGGUUCCCGGAUCUGCUCGAACUGGCUUGGCAGGACCCGAUUCUACUACCGAACGAUUACAACCUACUCAGAAACCCAAUGGGGAAGCCACACCUGAUGCUCCUAGACAGACGACUCUCCCUGAUAGCCUGGAAUCUUUCAGGGGAGCAUGGUGUACCGGAAACCUAUCGACAGCCACUAAGAACUCCUGGGCUCCUGGAACAUGAAAGAGUUACUUAUCAGCAUGGCAAUCUUGGACCGGUUGGUGCAUGGGAUGGAACCUGGAUCCCUUUACAGUCCCUGUGUUCGAUAUCAUGAAUUUCCGAUCGAAGAUAUUCGAGGAAGGAAAAUCGUAUCGCACCAUCAACGUGGUCAGAUCCGCCAUCUCAGCAGCCCACAUACUGUCCCAAGGAAGACCGGUAGGACAUGAUCCCCUGAUCUGUCGACUGUUAUGGGGCAUCAAACUGAGACGAUCCCCAGCAGCAUCAGCCGCUUUUUUGGCAGGCGCAUCUUUAUUAGACAUCCUGCAAACUGCCGACUGGUCACGUGAAUCGACGUUUCGGACAUUCUAUUUCCUUCCGUCAUCCAACAUCGCAUUCGCCCUUCUACCUAAGCAUUAAAAAUGCUAAAUAUGAAUCCUCCUGUCAUGUGGUAAAAUUGAAGAUUAUGCUAGCACAGUGUACUAAUAAUCUUAAUUUUAAUAAUGACAGGAGGCGAAUAUUUUCCCUCCCUUCAUCUUGACGUUCCCACCCUAGUAAGGUAAGUAGAUUUUAAGGGGGGCAAACUUGAUUCUAGUAUAUAUAUCUAUAUCGUGAGAUGUUUUAUGGUACUCAAUACUUCUGUUUUCAUCGCAAAAUGAAGUGGAUUAGCAUAAGACAUUCUGGAUAACCGAGUUAAUCAGUUAAAAUUGUCAACAUUCACAUAAACAUUCAUUUCAUAUGGUCUGUUCCGUAUCACUGAUACUAGUCUCCUUUCAGCUUAACAACACUAUGCAUAUAUCGAAAUCAGUUAACAAGUGUUAUGUUUAAUGAAGAAGACUGGAUUUGAUAAUGAAGUUUCCACAUUGGACUAGUUGAUUCAAGUUGAUUCGGGACACAGUUUGUCAUACUAUGAACUUGUGAUGUUGCAUUAGUCACGAGGAAAUGAUUGGCUAGGCUGGGACUUAUAUACUCUCUGACUCACUCUGAUUGGUUCUUUGUUUAAACUUCUAUGGAGUUAGUAAAGAAAGUUAAUGCAAAAUAUUAGCCUCCUGUCAUUAUUAAAAUUAAGAUUAUUAGUACACUGCGCUAGCAUAAUCUUCAAUUUGAUGAGCUCAGCCAAUUCAAUGAUUUCCCUCAGUAAAGCAUUGGUAAGCUACUGUGCAUGUGCAGCAAAACACCACACUGUGCCAAUUAGCAUCUCCUCGUAGACAUACAUUGAGUCAAUGUAUCCCUAUAGGGAACAUUCAUUGUACAGCACUGAUCUGGGGAACACCACUAGUGGCCGUCUGAGUGACUGCCACUAGGGUGUUCCUAGGUGGUACCGUAAACACUUUAUUUUCUAAUAAUAGGCAGUGUUUACAUAAAAAAUUCAAAAAAUGUGUAAUAUAACCAGCGGUAUUACCUAGUGCCGCUGUUCACACUGUGGAACCAAUCACAUACAAUUCCACCUGAAAUAAAAUCAAAAAACAAAAUAGAAACAAAUAGUGUGUAGCACAAUGACAUAUAUGAUCAUGUUUAAAUAUUCACUCUGUCCCAAUAGUAUAAUUAUAGUUGAAAUUAUGAGACAAAUAAAAUAACUAAUAAAUUCCUAGAGGGAAUACUAAAUAUAGAUUAUCCCUAAAACGUAAGCAAGAAGGUACACGUUCAUAGGGUAGUACAGUUAUAAGUAAAGGAAUUAUCCAUAAUAAAAUCUUCAGGUAAUUAAUUAACAUUUAUUUGAGCCUGUUUAAAAACUGGCUCUGGUGAUAUAGCUCCAUAUAUCAAGGAUAUCCUCAUUCAAGAAUAUCAGGAAUAAUAGGUCCUGACAACAUAGAUAGAUGAAGGGCACCAGCUUUCAACUUUCAAUAAAAUGGUAUUUAUUACACAAAAUAAACAUUUUAAAAACACUUUUACAUACAAAAGUGCCUCUAUCCCAGAAUUCAUAAAUCCAAAACAGCAAAACAUGUUUCAAUGCUUUAUCCAGCGUCUUCCUCAGGUGCAUGACUUCUGUCUGUAUAAUUUUGCUAUUUAAAUCAUUUAAAUCAAAAAACCUACAGGGACUGGCUGGGGACACCAGAAGCACUAUAUUACGCUGUAUUUGUUCUGCUGACUAUAGUGUCCCUUUAAUACUUAAUAUUUGGUCUUCGAAGGGCCUUGAAUCUUAUUUUGCUGGGGGGGAGGGCGGGCAGACUAGCUCUGACUCCGUGUAUGUAUGUGGUAGAAGGUGUUUGUGAGAUUUUGUGUGUGCGUAAAUGUAGCUGCAAGUUGGAUUCUGCUUGUGGAUUUGCGUGCCUCGGUUUGCAAACGGAGGAGUUGCAUGUGGGGAGAGGCUGUGUGGAGUUGUGUGUGGAGAGGACUGUUAGUAGUGUAGGGAUAGAGCUGUAAUUAGAGGAUAAGGCCUAUAAUGGGGGGAUAAAGCUAUGAUUGGGGGGAUAGGGGCUGGACAGGGGCUCUGUUGUGUUGAUGGGGGCUGUAUUGAGGUGUAGUGGCAGUAUUGGGGGAUAGGAACUGUAGAGGGGCUGUGCUGGGGGAUAAUGGCUAUGAUGGUGAAUAGAGUCAGUGAUAUGGUAUUAGGGCUGUGAUAAAGGGGAUAUGUUGAGUAUAGGGUUAGUGGGGGAAUAGGAGCUGUGAUAUGGGAUAGGGUCUGUGAUAGUUAUAGUGUUUGGGGGAGAUAAGGACUGUAGUGUAUGAGAUUUUAUUUAUUUUUUUUGUCAACAAAUAAUCACUUUUGCAAACCUUCAGCAGCAAACAACAUUUCCUAUAUUGAACUUAUUUAGAUUUUUCGACUUCAUAGCUUCCUUGACACAACUGUCACCACUAGCUUCCCCACUUUUGGAAAAGCUUGUUUUCAACCUCCCAGAACAACAGGGUCAGAUUUAAAUUCUUUAUCUUUUUCUAGUAUCUAACCAUCCCUCAGAUAUGUGUCAACUUGAGAGAUUUGCUUGGAUACUCAGGGAGACCCAUUUGAUUGGGCAAACGUAAAACAAGCCUAAGCUCUAUUACUAUGGAACCUAACCGCACUAGAUUGUUCUACAUGGGCCACAUUGACUCUUAAUUAUGCUGGAAAUAAUGUAUUCAAUGAGGCACAUAUGUCCACUUGUGGUGGAAUUGCCUUUGCAUUUCUACUCUAUGACAUAAAACUCCCAAUUGGUAUCUAGACUUCAUUUAAAUCGACAUUCAUUAAACCUUUGGAUUUGGUUAUUCACUAAACCAAUUAAAGAGUACACUAGGAUCAAAAAUAAACUAGUCUAAAAGGUAACACUGUCCACCAGACAAGCAACUGCUGAAUGUUAUGGGGUACUUACUAGUCCCACUUUAGCUAUAGUAAUAUGUAAAACAAUGAAUGCAUUGGCGGAUAGGAACACAGAGUUAGUUUAUCUCCUCAAACUUCAUCUUUUUUACAAAGAACCCCAUUGCUUUUUUUCUUCUCCACUGGGACCCCUUUGCAUUGUUUUCCAUCUUUUGUUAAUUUUCUUCUUUUUUUUAUUACAGUUGUGAAUUGCAUUAAGUUAAUUGUUCAUCUUCCUUGAUUUCCAUGAUUUACACUAUAUUUACAGAUAUUGCACCAAUUGAUUACUAAUCAUAUCGUAGUACACUCAAAGAACUCUUUGGUCCAUAGGUUGGUGUAAAACUCUUUUUAUUUUUUGUUUGGUAAAUCCUCUUGAUAUAGAGAAAGAGGUUUGUUUUUCUUUCUACCUCUGGCAUGUGCAUUGAAAGCGUCAUGUUUGCCUUAUGAGCCAUUUUUCUUCAGUGAUUGUGUUUUGUUUUUUAAUAUUCUAUAUUUGUACUUCUACUGUUAUUUUUUAUUUUGUAGGCAUUGUUUCUGCCCCUGCCUUAUUGUUUUAUGACAUUUCUUAUGGCUACAAAUCAAUAAACACAGAAUGUAAAAAAAGAAAAGAAAUACAUUUUUAUAACAUAGAUAGAAAAUAGCCAGACAACAGGGAAAUACACAGACAAGCACGAUUAGAAUUUACAUGAGUAGUUUUUUCCCAUUACCUUUAUGUCAAUUCUUCUACUUCAAUGUAAUUUCAACCACAAGUACAAUUCUUCAAAUAUAAAUGCUAAUUAUUAAAAAGUAUAGUUUUUCAAUAUUUUAAACAAGUGCUUUGCAGUGCAUACUUUCAACAGUAGAUAAAACGAAAAUGAGAACAGGAGUCAUUUUAACAUUGUGUGAAACACAAAUGUUGCAAAGGGCAAAUCAAUAAAUUAAAAUAGCCUAUGAAACUUUUAACGAAAUCCAUGAAUUCUUCUUCCAUAAACAUUAUUAAUAGCCUCGGUGAUUACUGAAACUCUAAUUAGAGCAGAAUUCCAUCAGUUACAGUAAGGGGUGACUUAUCUACUCUUUUAUCAUGAUUUGCAUAGUAAUGCUGGAAAGUUUACUGAAAGUAACAAAACUAAUUUAAAGUAUUGAUAAAGUGAUACAGUGUACAGGUGCAGUGUGAUGAUGAUAACAUUACUUGGUUACAGCUGAAAUUGCUGAUACCCUCUAAAGUGGAGAAGGAAGUUAACAUGGUGAAGAGGAGAGACAUAAUGCAUAAGUAAAAUUGCGUGCUUAAAUUUGUACAAAAAAUAUAAUAGGCAUGAAAGCACUUGUACUAAGAAAAAAAGACACAGAGAAACUGUUGACGCCUAAAUAAAGAGUUGAUGUAAUGAAUUAGUUUGUUUUGUCAUUACCGUUGGGGUUGUUUUGCCUCUUAUGACAGAUAGGUGGAUACUAGCAGUCGUGAUUAGCCCUACAUCUAGCUUUUACUGAAAACUAAUUAAGCAGUUUUUGUUUUUACAGUUGUAAUGUGCAUUAUAAUAUAAGCACAUUUAUUCAGUCCCCAGUGGCCUAUUCAUCUGUCUGCUGCAAAAGAAACCAAAAAAAAACUGCACAAUCUUAACCUAUUUGCCCCAAAUACCAAGCAUACACUGGUGCUAAACAUAUGUCUUGCUAUCAUUCUGUACAUGUAAUUAAUAUUAAUAUCAUGUCAAAGACAAAAUAUAAUGAGCCUCUGCAAAAUAUGCACAUAUACUUUCUAUACUAAAAGAAAAUGAACAUUUAAAGGACCACUAAAGGCACCCAGACCACUUCAGCUCAAUGAAGUGGUCUGGGUGCCAGGUCCAUCUAGGAUUAACCCUGCCUGCUGUAAACAUAGCAGUUUCAGAGAAACUGCUAUGUUUACAAAUGGGUUAAUCCAGCCUCUAGUGGCUCAUUGGCAGCCACUAGAGGUGCUUCCAUGCUUCUCACUGUGAUUUUCACAGUGAGAAGAUGCCAGCGUCCAUAGGAAAGCAUUCAGAAUGUGUGCGUGGCUCUUGCCGUGCAUGUGCAUUCAGCCGAUGACGUCCAAAGGAGGAGGAGAGACCCCAGCGCUGAGGGAGCCUGGCGCUGGAGAAAGGUAAGUGUUUAACCCACUUCCUCCCCCUUCAGCCCGGUGGGAGUGGGACCCUGAGGGUGGGAACACCUUCAGGGCACUAUAGUGCCAGGAAAAUGAGUUUGUUUUCCUGGCACUAUAGUGGUCCUUUAAGUUCCUGCUGCUAGAAGAAUCAGAAGUUCAAUCCCUUCUCUUCCAUUAUAGGCAUACAGAGGUGACACUAGUACACUACUAUAUCCAAACUCUUACAUUCAUACAUUUGCAUACUUUUAAGGGAAGGAAACCAAGUAAAGUGGUUAAAGUGGGUUUUUAAAGGAACCUUAUAGUCAGGGGUAGCCCAAGGCAUUGUGCUGCCUGGGCCAAAGGAUGAAAUGCUGCCUCCCCUCUUCCCUCCCCCGCCCCCAACAAAACCACACCAACCAAAACAUGCCCAUAUCCAUUAUGUUAUGCAGUGUGUGUAGUGAAUGCAGUGUCUGUGUAGUUGAUGCAGUGUGUGUAUUUGUGUAUUGCAUGCAGUGUGUGCAGUGGCUGCAUUGUGUGUGUGUGUGUGUGUGUAUAGUGGAUGAAGCAUGUGUGUAUUUUGUAAUGGAUGCAGUGUGUGGAUAGUGGAUACAGAGCAUUUGUGUAUAGUGGAUGCAGAUCAUGUGUGUAUAGUGGACAAAGUUUGUGUGUGUAGUUGAAUGCAGAGUGCAUAUAUAUAGUGGAUGCAGAGUUUGUGUAUAGUGGACAAAGUUUGUGUGUGUAGUGGAUGCAGAGUGCGUGUAUAGUGGAUGCAAUGUGUGUGUAUAGUGGAUGCAAUGUGUGUGUAGUGGAUGCAGUGUGUGUGCAGUGGAUGCAGUGUGUGUGCAGUGGAUGCAGUGUAUGUGUAGUGGAUGGAGAGUUUGUGUGUGUAUAGUUGAUGGAGAGUUUGUGUGUGUGUGUGUAUAGUAAAUGCAGUAUGUGUGUAUAGAGGAUGCAGUGUGUGUAUAGUGGAUGCAGUGUGUGUGUGUGUAGCUGAUGCAAUGUGUGUGUAUAGUGGAUGCAGUGUGUGUUUGUGAUGAUAAAUUAAAUGUGGGGGUGAGCAGUUUUCUUUUCUUUUCUUUUUUUUUUACUUAUUCCCCCCCACCCCCCUCUCUGCCUCUUACCUGUGGCCAGGGAGGUGGGAUACAUAAUUCCUUGGUGGUCCAGUGGAGCUGGAUUACAGUGAAAAGGGGGCCCUAAGAGUAAUCUGUGGGUUGCCAUAGCAAUGCUCCGGAAUGGCAAUGCUCUUGCAGCUUGCGAGACAAAAGUACCUGCAGCUCCGCUGUACACACCAGCAGGGGCUUGGAACUGCAUAUAUAUAUAUAUAUAGGUACUCAACAUAAAUGCACAUAGGUGGCCCAGGCCAUGCACUACAAAUUUCUUAAAGGCACAGAGGCAGCAAAAUGCCGCUCCUGUCACAGUACCGCCUGGAGCCAUGGCCCCACAGGGGCCAAUGGACAGGCCGGCCCUGCCUAUAGUGUUAGGAAUUUUUCUAACAUUAUAGUUUUAAUUUAACAUUAGUAGACUCCUACCCACCAUGUGAGGGCUUAUUUACCUUUACUUUACUUACCCAUCAGCUCUCACUGCUUUGGUCUCUGCCCUGGUGGCAUGCCUUCUUGGCUGAGAUCAUGGGAGACUAUUGUGCAUGCUUGACAAAACACCAUGCAAACUCAGCUAUUUUGAAGGAAGCACCUCUAGUGGCUGUCAGAGUGACAAGCACUAAAAGAAUUUAAACUCUGCAAUGUAAACAUUGCUGUGCAUGCAGAACGGCCUUGUUUUCACUUGCAGGGCAAAAGAGAGAGGAUAAUUGAAAGAUUUGUAUUUGAAAUGAACAGAACAGGGAAAAAAUAUAAAAAAGAUGCAAGGGGUUGGAUCAUGAAAACAUUGGAGAUGAGAAUGUGGGGUAGUAGGAGUAUAGAAAUCUUCUCAUUUGUAACAAGUGGAAGUGAGCUUAUGAUUGGAAGUAGGAAAGUAGAUUGAUGUACAGGGAUUGAAGUAUUGUGAUUUCUUGUCUUGUUUCACAAAUUCACCAAAUUGGACAGAAUCACAUGAUGAAGCAAUUCUACCAUGCAAUAUGGUAAUUCAUUGAUUCAGCAUAGCCAAUAGUUAAUUGUGAAUAAUACUGUGUUAGAAGCUUCUGGUGCCCUGGCUCAUUGAGGGGCCACCCCCUCCCAACAGAGUAUGAACUCUGGGGAUCGCCUGAACCAAUUCUCACACUGAGCGCCUGACUAGGAGAUACACUGAAUUGCUAUACCAAUCCUGUUUAUUGUAGAUUGGGUGUGACUCAGUCCCCUGAGCACAAAUCAUGGCACUAUUUGGAGGUGACAUUGGGAGGUGAUGCGGCAUCUGGGGAUACCUAGAACUUGUCUAACUUUAAAGUGCUGAGGCUUGGGCUGGGUACCUUUGAUCCAGGUGCCAUUUGGACUGUACAUAUCUGAGGUAUGAGCUAUUUGGGAAUAUAUAAUGUUUGAGGAUUAAAUAUUGGGAACGUGAAUUUAUGGGGCUCAUAUUCAUUGGUUUCACUGCCUGGAAAGGACACAGCGGGAGGGGGGGGGGAUCAUAAACAAUUCUGAAUUGACCUAAUUAAUUUAGCAACAGAGUGGCACUAGGGAGGGAACUGUAUUGUAUGAAUCAUUACUUCUGGUUCAAUACACAUGGGCUGUGUAUACAUAUGUGUGAGUUGGUUUAAUAUGUACACUCACUCAAGUCUCAGCUGAUAUUUGUGUGAGCUGAUGUAAUCACUGAAUGUGUUCUUCUGGAAAAGGAGGGAGAUUGGUGGAGAUACUCAUGCUGAGUAUCAAGCCCAGUCACAGAUAAAAAUUCAAAUAACAACCAAAUUAACCCCUUAAGGAUGGCGGGCAUUCUAUGCCGUCCUUUUAGGGGAGGCUCUAAACGUCGGCGGGCAGCCUAGAACGUCCCCGCCAUCCUUAUUACUUACCUAAUCACUGGUGGGGGAACGACUGUUGCUCCCGGUCUGGGGGGACUGCCUGACAGUCCAGACAGUCCCCCCUCUGCAAAUUAGGCCCCCCGCGGGCCAUGUGCUGCAAUUGGUGUCUGUGUAUCUGCCUGCAGGGAGACUGCCUAAAUGGACAUUAUGUCAUUCUAAGUGUAUUUUUAAUUAAUAUAUAUACUUAUAUUCAUAUAUAAAAAUACACUUAGAAUAAAAUUACACACACACAUAUAUAUAUAUAUAUAUAUAAAACAACUAUAUAUAUAUAUAUAUAUAUAUAUAUAUUUAUAAAAAAUAAAUAAUAAUUAAUUAAAAACAAAUUAAUUAAUUACAAUAAUUUAAUUGUUUUUAUUGUAUUUUGAUAUGAAUAUAUAUAUAUAUAUAUAUAAUCAUAUCAUAUAAAGUACACUUAGAAUGAAAUUAUAUAUAUAUAUAUAUAUAUAUAUGUAUUAAGGCAGUUUUGCCUGUAUUUGUGGGAGGGGCUUAAAUUAAUUCACUCCCCUAUAUAAGGGACACCCCUUACCUGACUCAUAUCGCUUGAGGUCAGCAUCAGAAUGAUUUCCACUUCCGGGUCAUCCAGACGCCAUUUUACCUGAUUACUCCAUGAGGUUUUCUAAGCAGAGCUGUGUCAGGAAUCCAGCCACAGGCUUUUCCGGCCUACCACCUUCUUUCUUCAAUCCAUCGCCGUGGAUGGUGUCCAAGUGACUCACAAACAGUAAGUCGACCUACCCGUUACACCAGGCAUCAGUCCCAUGCACGGGUCAGGUCCUCACUUUACGGCUGCAUUUUGUCUAUGUCUGUUCUAAAACCAUUGCAUGUUCAUGCAUAUCAUUCGUUUAAACCCCCUACCGGUCUUUGGGUGUACUACAGGCUUCUUAGACAUUAUUGCAUUUCAUGUACAAACCAACGAACCACUGCAUUUUCGCCUACACACUGACCCCUACCGGUCUUUGGGUGUACUACAGGCUUCUUAGACAUUAUUGCAUUUCAUGUACAAACCAACGAACCACUGCAUUUUCGCCUACACACUGACCCCUACCGGUCAUUCGGUGUACUACCGGCUUCUCAGGCAUUUUUGCAUUUCAUGUAAAAAAACAACCAAACACCGCAUUUUCACCUUCACACUGACCCCUAUCGGUCAUUCGGUGUACUACAGGCAUCUUAGACGUUUUUUGCAUUUUCAUGUACAAACCAAUAAACCACCUCAUUUUCACCUACACACUGACCCCUACCGGUUUUUGGUGUACUACAGGCUUCUUAGACAUUAUCGCAUUUCAUGUACAAAUAAACGAAUCACUGCAUUUGCACCUACACACUGACCCCUACUGGUCAUUUGGUGUACUACAGGCUUCUUAUUGCAUUUCAUGUACAAAUCAACGAAUCACUGCAUUUGCACCUACACACUGACCCCUACUGGUCAUUUGGUGUACUACAGGCUUCUUAUUGCAUUUCAUGUACAAAUCAACGAACCACUGCAUUUGCGCCUACACACUGACCCCUACCGGUCAUUCGGUGUACUACGGGCUUCUCAGACAUUAUUGCAUUUCAUGUAUAAACCAACAUACCACUGCAAUUUUCACCUACACACUGACCCCUAUCAGUCAUUCGGUGUACUACAGGCUUCUUAGACGUUUUUUGCUUUUCAUGUACAAAACCAUAAACGACUGCAUUUUCACCUACACACUGACCCUUACCAGUCAUUCAGUGUACUACAGGCUUCUCAGACAUUAUUGCAUUUCAUGUACAAACCAACGAACCACUGCAUUUGCGCCUACACACUGACCCCUACAGGUCAUUCAGUGUACUACAGGCUUCUCAGACAUUAUUGCAUUUCAUGUACAAACCAACUAACCACGGCAUUUACGUCUACAUGCUGACCCCUACCGGUCAAUCAGUAUACUACAGGCUUCUCAGAUUUUAUUCCACUUCAUAAGCAAACAAACGAACUACUGCAUUUUCGCUUUUAUACUGACUCCUAUCUGUCAAAUGGUAGCAUUAACCCCUUAAGGACACAUGACAUGUGUGACGUGUAAUGAUCCCCUUUUAUUCCAGAAGUUUGGUCCUUAAGGGGUUAAAGGAUAUUUUAACAUACAAUCAGCAUUUCUGACCCCUACUGGUCAACAGCAAAACUGCCUUCACAUGUCAUAUACAAUUUACCAGCCAAUAUAAAUUACACAUAAGAUUGUUUUAAACAUAACUAUAGACCAUAAAUUAAACUCCAGCACGGGCUCAACUUCAGGUUUAAUUCACAAUAAUUUACAUUUCACAUCAAGACCAACAGUGGUUCUAUCAACACUGCCACCUACAGGUCUGUCAAGUACAUUGACAAUUUUCAUGGGGUUUUACAAACACCAAAACACUGACACCUAUAGGUCAACAGACAAACAACAUUUCACAUACCAAUCAGUAUCCAACUACACUGCCACCUAUAGGGCACUCGGCAGAUCUCCAGUGCACUUGCAUUUUGCAACACCAUGUUCACUGACCCCUACCAUUCAAUAAGACAUACAACAAUUCACAUAGCAAGCACUAUGUCAACAUCUGGUAUAAAUACAUAUAUUAUUACACAGUAGCAGACGCAUCUGUAUAUAUGUAACUGGUAAUAUAGUUCACAUACAUUUUUCACAGCACGCUGCUCCCGCAACAGACUUCCCCUAGCAAGGGGACAUACAACAUACAAGGUGGGGACAGACCACAUUUUCACUUGUACAUACGGCACUUAAUGGGUUAAGAUUGAUACAUAUUUAACCAGUAUGGCUACGAUGUUUAAUAUUUACACAUCACAUCACUUUACUUUUCACAUAUACUGUACGUAUUAAGAUAAGCUUGGUCUAUGCCAUAUUUCCUUAUGCCAUACGGUUUUAUCCAUUCAGGUUACAGUUACUACUAAAAAACCUAUACGGAUUGUCAGGUUCAAUACCAUACUACCAGGUACAUACACCUGCUCACGUAGUUAUCCAUCUCUUACCUUCCCUGGAAUAGUAAUAGUGUACUGGCAAUUAGGGUUCUAGGGCCCAAUAGGUAUUACCCCCUUUUUUUCUCUGCAUUAUGCUUCGGUUAGUGGUCCCGCGAGGCCAACACCCCGCCUCACACUCGGAGGCAUACACCCCUCGGGCCACUCGUGAGCUAGUCGCCUCGCAUUGUAUCAUAGAGAGGACCUCACCUGUCACUCCCCUUCCUAUUUUCUGGUUACUGUCACCGAGAGGCCAACAUCCUGCCACAACGUUCGGUGGCCACACAAAAUCCCCUCGCGCCAAGCAUAGAUAGAGCCUCUCAAGCCACUUGGCAACUAGCAGGGCCUCACCAGUCACCAAAAAACACAAGUCUAAUCGUUUCGCCUUACGGCUUAGCUAGCAAGCCAGUACAAGAACCCUGGGUACAAAUAAUAAUUGCAAUCUUUAUUGUUAUUUAAGUAUUUCUCAAAAAGAUGGUGAAGAAUCACCUCUUCCUAGCACCCCGGCUAGAAUUGAUACACCUUCAAGCAGAGGAGAUGUUGCUAGUCCAGCAGCAAUCAGAUCCUGGACGAUCCCACACAUUACCACCGACCUAAGGAGGUGACAAAUCCCCUACCCUGCUACAGCAAGGAAAGCAGUUAUUCAAACUCCUCCAUACAUCAAUGGACAACACGGAGGCAGGGGAAGGCCCAGCUACAUCAACUCAGGUGACACCCAGGCUAUGCUAGCUUCACUCAUAAACUCAUGAGCCAAAAAAUUUAUGACAGACUGGCAAUCUCGAGUUGGUCACCACAGCCCUCACAAGGCUGGGCCUCACGCUACUGUACAACCAGCACCAACCGAAACUCGGUUACCUGGUACAAUCAAUUCUUAUGACACACAAGAUGUUAAACCUGCACGUAUGAUCCCAGCACAUUGGGGAAGCAAGGCAUAUAUAUGUAUGAUGAUGUAUCUGUGAUGGUCAGAUCCAGGGAUUCCAGGUAAAUCGGGAACUGACCAUCCCUUGGUUGGGUUGGCAUUUGGAAUAUGUGGAGAUGUUUAUUUGUGCAGGUACCCAUACAGAAGGGAUUUUGUCCCAAACAAAUGGACGAGCACUCUCAGGCUCCAGGUACCAGCACCUCUGAACUACCAGAGACCACUGAUAUGAGUAGUUGCAUUGCAUACAGACUGUUGCAUAUAUGUUCAAAUAGUUCAGGGCACAUGACAAACCAUGUGUCCCAAUACAACUUACAAAUAACGUAUUCACCAUCUGUACACACCAAUGCAUUUUCAACACUACUGACUCAUCACCCUUCCAGACUGGUAGUAGAUUUACUAAAGCUCUGGAGCUUCAAAGGGCUCUCAUACAGGUAUCAUAAACACACCUUCAAGGAAUAUAGCAUGCACUCACUUACAGUCAGCACAACAAAACCAUUGGCUGUAAACACACUCAUAGCCAAGAUUUGCAGAGGGGUCUUCCAAUCUCCACCAUUUACAGCAUGGCACCAAACACACACAUUGGUAUUGUCACAAGGAAUCUUCCCUUAAACAAAGACUAACCAUGGACUUAUUGGUAACACACACCUCCGCUACCCCAAGUCUCAACUCCCUCAUACCCUCCGAGGAUUUUUCUUACUAUACAACACCAUUGAUCUACCUUUACAGCUAUCACUCAAGCAUGGGUUGAAGCUUGAUUAAGUAAGACCAAUAUCAUCAACGCAGUAAACGGCUAACAUCUACCCUACACACUGGCACUUACAUGGCAUAAAUUGGGCAAUCCUUUCCCCGCUCAACUUUCGAGCUACAGAUUAGCCUACUAUCGAUAUUCGCAGAUACUCUGUGCUGGUUAUGAUAACAUAUCCAGAGGCCUUACAGUCAUACACUAUCUAGAAGACUUCUUGUUAAUCAAAGACAGCAUAUUUUUCACUAGAAGCCUCACGGCAGCUUAGUCUGGUUGACCACUUGGGCGUCCCAGUACCCCAUAAGAAACAGAAGGCCCAGACACUAUCUUCACAUUACUGGGCAUAUGACUUGAGUCGGCAUCCAUACACGCAAGUUACCACAAGACAAAUAGGGAACAUUCUCAACUACAUCAAUCACUACCUCCUGCUUAGUACUUACAACUGAAAGGAACUACGAUCCCUACCAGGUUCCUUAAUUUUGCCAUGCUUUCACAUCCAGAGUACUUUCCCCUUUUUUCCACACUUCCAACAUGACGAUCAGAGGAGGUGCCUAGACACCUCAGCAACAGCAGACCUGCACAUGGGGGGGGGAUUUCUUAACCACUUGGCAUGGUAAAAGCAUGUUCCUUCCAGGAUUGUCUGACACUUCUCCAACCAGAUGGUCAGACGCAGCGUAUACCACGGGUUUGGCAGCGAUCUACCGGGAACAAUUGCUUUGGGGCUGUUGGCCAUGGCAUCCAGGUUUGGAAAUUUUUCCACCACUUCAGCCCCUUUGGGAGAUCUACCCCAUUGUAGCAGCUGCUGUGGCAUGGGGUAAAUCAUGGUCAGGGUCAUCAAUCCGUUGUUACUCAGACAACUAAGCACAUAUCAUAUCAUCAACAAACGCCACUACUCAUCCAUAAGUUCAUGAUGUUUCUGGGGAACUCACUUGGUUGGCCACUUAUCACAUUUCACUUUCAUGUACCAGACGGGGGUAUACAUCCCUGCCGACAACUGUCUCAUUUAUUUUCCAGGCAUGUUCAUCAUACGCUUCCUACAGCCACCCAUACAGUCACGUCCACUCUUUCGUUCCAGAGACAAAAUCAUGGAUUAGACAUACUCAUGCAGCAUAGCAUGCACUAUCCCACCUAGCACUUUCGUCCCAUACUUGUAGAACGCAUAACACAGCUUUUCACCUGGCUUAAAGAAUGUCAUUGGAACACGACAUAGCUCAACCUGUGUCACAAAAUUUCUCCUAAGUUUUGCUUAUUUUUGCCACCUUAAACUUAAACUAUCUCAUACACCAUUAAUUAUAUAUUUUACAGGCAUUCAACAACACAUGAUAACCUAUGGCCAAAACUACCAUAAACUUCAUGCUAUCAUACCAGAAAAGAAUAUACUCAGAGGUUUUCAGGAAUCCAUUCCCCCACGUUCCUCUCAGAGAUUACCAAUAGCCAUCCAACUGUUCAUCCUUAUCGGACCUAUUAGAUCUACAACCAUUCAAUUAUACUACCAAGUCGGCCAUUACCAGCCAUGCACAUUGCCUUUUAUGCCUUUCUCAGGCCAGAGAAUCCACUACCAUCACCACCACUCAGACAGAUCAUUGUCUUCAACGAUCCCACGUACGUAAACACAUAUAUCAUUACCUAUUGGCUCUACCACAUUCCGAAAUGAGUCAACAUGCACCAACAGUAGAGAUAACAUACUAUCCUACCCACAACAAAUGGUGCCUACUUUCGGUCCUAGAUUCCUACCUUCAAAAUCCUUUCAGGAAUUAAAUACUGUAAUGCAUUUAAGGAAAUGUCUGGUUAAUUUGUAUAUAUUUGUUGACUGUAUUAAAUCUUUGAUUAUUCAUUUUUGCCCUCUUUAUUUACAGGCCUACCGUAUCGUCGGUAUCGGCACACCACAACCGACUUGCUCCCUUUACACUAUCCUAAGCUUAUGCUGGAUCCUUACUCCAUAUACGGCUAUUUUGCCCCUUACACAAGUAUUAAGGUAGUUUUGCCUGUAUUUGUGGGAGGGGCUUAAAUUAAUUCACUCCCCUAUAUAAGGGACACCCCUUACCUGACUCAUAUCGCUUGCGGUCAGCAUCAGAAUCACCCUCCCACCCACUCCUAAUUUCAACACUUUCUCUUUUCUUUCCAUUUACUUUACUUUCUUACUCCUUGGUGGGCCCUCUUUAUUUACAGGCCUACCGUAUCGUCGGUAUCGGCACACCACAACCGACUUGCUCCCUUUACACUAUCCUAAGCUUAUGCUGGAUCCUUACUCCAUAUACGGCUAUUUUGCCCCUUACACAAAUAUAUAUAUAUAUAUAUAUAUAUAACUAUGAAUAUAUAAAUACAUUAAAAUAAUAAAAAAUAUAAAUAUACUCAUACACAUAAUUACAUAAAUAACUUCAAAUAUAUAAAUAUAUAUAUAUAUAUAUAUAUAUAUAUAUAUAUAUGAAUUCCAUGUGCAUAUUUAUGUAAUAUUUUUACAUAAUUAAGUAAUUUUAUUGAUUACAUAUUGAGGGACCUGCCUGGCAACCCUGACAGAAUGUCCAGAAAAUUUAAUUUGCUAGCACUAUAUUUAACGCUGUAACUUUCCAUGACACCCUAAAACCUGUACAUGGGGGGUACUGUUUUACUCAGUAUUAUGACAUUCACAGUUAAAAUUAAAUGCAGAACUAAAAAAGUUUUAAUAAACUUAAUUUCUCACACUUUUUAUUUUAUUCAUAAUGAAUUAUGUUUCAUAUAUUAUUAGUUAAGUUAAACGAAUGCCCCUUUUCUCCUGAACAAAUUGAUAUAUAAUAAGUGUCGGUGCACUAAGUAUGAAAGAGGUGAAAUAUGGUUGAACAGAUAUAUAGCAUGAAUUCCAGUUUUUGUUUACGUUUUGUUUUGAUCACAAAGUGUACAACUGGCUCAGUCCUUAAGGGGUUAAUGUCAUUCAGUUCUGAAUAUAAAUUGUCAGGCUGAACAAAGCAGCAGCAGCAACAUGUCUAGCAGCAACCUUGAAAUGGAGGAAACAGGCCAAGAAGCAAGUGAGAGAGGUAAAGGAAAAAGUUAACCAAGAUCCUUAAAGGAGCACUAUAAGGUUAAAACCACCAUCUAGCCCCCUGUCCCCCUCAUGCCUCCCUAAAUAUAGUAAAAGCUUACUUGUAUUAAGGUCUACAGCUGCUUAUUUUGUCCCUGUUGCCUUUAGACCUUCCUGCUGCCUGCUGACAUCAGCAGAAGUAGUAGCCUGAUCCAAUAACAAUGCUUCCCCAUAGGAUUGGCUGAGACUGACAAAGAGGCAGAUCGGGGCAGAGCCAGAACAAGUCAAACACAGCCCUUGCCAAUCAGCAUCUCCUCAUAGACAUGAAUUGAAUCAAUGAAUCUCUAUGAGGAAAGUUCAGUGUCUGCUUGCAGAGGGAGGAGACACUGAAUGUUUGGAUGCAUUUUAGGCAGCUAUGACCCAGGAAGGAUCUCUAACAGCCAUCUAAGGAGUGGCCAGUGAAGUUAUCACUAGGCUGUAAUGUAAACACUGAAUUUUCUCUGAAAAGACAGUGUUUACAGCAAAAUGCCUGAAGGAAAUGAUUCUACUCACCAAAACAUAUUCCAUAAACUGUAGUUGUUCUGGUGACUAUAGUGUCUCUUUAAAGUUCCAAGGAGUCAGGAUAAAAGUUUUGCUAGAAAAUAUGGCCCAACAUUUUGGCUCAAAUGAGAAUGUUGCACUGGUUACAAAGCUGUGCCAAUACCAGGUAUGCAAAUAGGCACCUUCCUCCAAGCAACCCCUAAACUAGACUGAGAAAUUUUAAUGUGUAAUUUUGGACAAUCUAGAGGGUUGAUCUAGGACUGUCCUGUUAAACUCCUCGAUUAAAUCAGCUAAAUGAAUUAUAAUAGCUAUCAGUCCUAUUUUUUAUGUUGAAGUCUGCACAUGGAAUGGUAUUCAUAGAAAGUAGUCUGAGACCUUAAAAAGGAGUUAGCAAUAAGAAGACACUAGGUAGCCCAGAAGAGUUCAUAAUCUAGUACAUCUGGUUGGGGUAAAUGCCACUUGCUCCAAUUGCAUCUAUAAUUUGUGGAUAAAAGUCAUUACACUCUUUGGAAAUUACUAGCAUAAAAGCUUCACGCAUCAUCUUGGAAGGCACUGGCUAGGCACUCUACCACAAUAGCCACCUGCCACAGACUUAGUUAAAAGUCAUAUUAAAAAAUAUUAUACUACCAUAUGGCUGUACCCACAUGUAACCAUUCAUUAUAUAACCACCAUUAAACAGAUCAAAGCUGAGAUGUACGGCCUGCACUCAAUGUUUGCAUAAUUACCAUUCACACAACUCAGGUUGGCCCCGAGUCAGGAAGCAGCAGGUAACUUGGCCAGCUUUCCCCGCUAAAAUUCUCAUUGAGCCAUUAAAAUGAUGAUUUUACACAAAAUUCUGUAUUUAUUCCAGCCUCUACAGAUUCUCUUAGUGUCCCAUUACCUUAACAAAUUUCAAUUUGUCCUUUUAAAAUGUAGCUGGAGUGAUAGAAAAGCUAGAGCCCCAAGUUAAUUAUUAACUAGGUCAGUCGGAGAAGGAGGAUUAGGAUCUCCAAACAUCAUUUAAUACAUUUGUAACGGCACCCCGGGCAUAAAAGGGUUAAACCGCCGUUUAGUAGAUCUUCCCUUCCAGAGACACAGGCACAGCUACUGUAGACACCAAUCCGGAACCAUAUGAAUGUAGUAAACAGCCGAAUAGGAAAAACCAAUAGGUUUACACUCCUAGCAGUCAAACUGGAACAGCAUAGAAUAAAUCCCCCCAAGAACGAGACAAGGCUCCGUUUUGAGGGUCAAGCAGGAACAGACAGAGCUGUGGGUUUAUUGUUCUUAUAUACACAUUAGUACCACCCACAGGGUUUUGGAAAACAACUAAUAAACACAUACAAUACACUCAGACACUCCCACACAAGAUCCUCCCCUCUGCCUGUGAUACAAUUAUCUUACACAAUUAUCACCGGCAGAGAAAUACAGUUUUUCCACAUUAUUCAUAACUUUAAAAGUAUGCAUCACAUUCACAUUCCAUUUUCAGAAUCUGCAUACUCCAAAUACAAACAUAUGUCAAAAUCAUACAAAUUGGUCCAGUGGUUCAAAAGAUAGAUCAUAGUCCUUUGUGACCAAAGGAAGCAUGGCUUUUCUGCCCAAAACCAGUUCCACUGAGUCUUCUAUACUGGAGAUAAUUGGGAAGUAAUCCAAUUAUCUCCAAGAACAGAGGCAAAACGCCAUUAAGCACAUGGCAGUAAAAUACACAAGGUUACAUUUAUGACAUAAAAUACAGACAUGCAACAUAUGCCCAGAUAGCUUAGGUCUGAGCGCACAUUAAUACUGAAUGGCGCUCAGACCACACACAUACAGUUCAAUUGCCAUGGAGCCAAAGUCUUUCCCAUAGUCUUUCAUUAUACGAAUGGACUCCAUGGCAUAGCUAUCUGGGGUAUCACCGCUCAAACAGGGCAAGCACCAAAUGACCCGGCUUUCGUGUCUUUGCAGGGGAAAAUCAAGCGUUUCAACAUGGGGCCAUAGUCUAAAGGCAGCAGGUGGGCAACCAGGCUCCUCCAAUGCACAGUGGCGAGAUUGGUCUUGUCACAACAUUACUUAUUUUUUUAGCCAUAGAUUAAAUGUUUUUACUAUAUUUGAAGGAUAGUAUGCUCUAUAUAUACUCAAGCAUUUAAAGGCUUUUUUCCCCAUAUAAAACCAUAUUUGUCAUCAAGUAAUUUGUUGAGAGUAGAUUGUAUUGUUGUAUUACAGACAUUACUUCGAUAACUUAAAAGGUAGGACAUGCCAAACUUAACACGGUGUCAUCAGCAUAUUGGCUUAUUUUAGGCUUAUUAUUAAUUUCAAAUCCUCAUUGUAAUAUUUAAUCUAGAAAAAAAAAGAGACAAUGUAUUCCUAAAUCUAUUAUAGAUAAAUAAAUAGUGGUAUUAGUUUGAAGAUAUAUCACUACUAGAAGAGGGGUUUUGGCCCUAAGAUAGAAAGAGAAAAAGGUAGGUUGUAGUGAAUGAUAGAAAGUGUUAAUGAUACAAUGGUAAAAUAUAAAAUAUAACUUUUAUUUCCAAAUUUUACAUUUUAAAAUGGUAUAGAAAUUCCUGGUACUAAGAUUCUAGAAGCCAUGUAGUGUGAGCUUCAAGGCAGCAUAUACAUCAAAGCAAAUAGUUGUCUGGUGAACAGCAUGCAAAUCAGAGCAAAAAAGGUUGAGAGAUUCUGUAAGUCAGGUGGGGAUGUCUAGUACUGGUUAUAGUUGAAUCAAUUCCAGGCAAGCAGGGAGGGUUUAAAAGCUGGUUGUACUGUAUGUCCCUACAUAUCUGGCAGCCGGCACUUGUCCCCUCCAUGUUGUAAGUCCCAGUUUUUGAAAGUAAUUGCUCAGUUGAAAAAAACCCACGUGCAUACAUUAAGUUCUAAUUGUCAGCGGUAUAUCUAAGAGAUAUCCUAGGGAAAUCAAGUAAACAAAUUCUCUAAUGGACCAGAGGCUAAAAAGUAUUCUGUGAUUGAAGCAGAAUCUAAGUGAAAAAGCCUUCUGGAGCAAAAAGCCACAUCAGUUUGCACUCAAUGCGCGUUUCAUCCGCCUAAUGUUGCCCGGAGUCAGCACUCCUGAUGACUUUGCUUUUUUGUUUCUCUCUUUUUUCCUUGGUGGUUUCUUUGUUUAUUUGUUACAUGUUCUUUAUGUUUGUCCAAUGCACUGCCUUGGAGCUCACACUACAUGACGUCUAGAAUCCUAGUACCAGGAAUUUCUAUCCCAUUUUAAAUUGUAAAAUGUAGAAAUAAAAGUUAUAUUUUACCAUUGUAUCACAAACAUUUUCGAUCAUUCACUACAACCUACCUUUUUCUCCAAUAUUUAAUCUAAUUUCAGAAGCAAGAAGUUCAGCUACCAAAAUAUACAAGAGAGAUGAAAGGGGCAUCCCUGCUGGGUGCCAUUUGCUAUAUAGAACCAUUCUGCUUUGAAGGGACACUCCAGUGCCAGGAAAUCAAAACACUGUAGGUCCCCUCUCCCUCCCACCCCCAUCCCAUGUUGCUGAAGGGGUGAAAACCCCUUCAGUGACUUACCUGAGACCUCCGCCGAUGUCCCUCGGUGGUGAUUUAGGCUCCGCCCAUGCUCCUCCCCCGCCGACAUCAGCCGGCGGGGGAGACCGAUUGCACAUGCCUGACCGCCGGCUGGAUGAGACCUAAUGCGCAUGUGCGGCAAUGUCGUGCAUGCGCAUUAGACCUCCCCAUAGGAAAGCAUUGAAAAUGCUUUCAAUGCUUUCCUAUGGGGAUUUUAAAACCUGUGCUAUAGACCAGGAAGUGCCCUCUAGUGGCUGUCUAGUGGCUGUCUAGUAGACAGCUACUAGAGGAGGAGUUAACCCUGCAAUGUAAAUAUUGCAGUUUAUGAAAACUGCAAUAUUUACAGUUGCAGGGUUACGGGUAGUGGGAGUUAGCACCCAGACCACUUCAAUGGGCAGAAGUGGUCUGGGUGCCUGGAGUGUUCCUUUAAUACCUCCACCCACAAUUCUGCUUAAAGCUGCUGAGUAAAGAGCCAUAAUUGUAGACAAAAUGUCUCCAGAGAAGCCAAAUACUUUUAAAGUUUCUCUCAUAAAUCACCAAUUUACUCUAUCAAAAGCUUUCUCCCCAGGUGGCGUGGCUAACCGCCGAGAGUAAUGGACAUUUGAUCCCAGCUCCGGCAAACAGGGUCGACAAUACACUGCAAUCUACCAGAUUGGGGCAACCCUAAAGCACCUGGACACACUAUGGCACAACAGAAGAGCAGGAAGAAUACCAGCAAAGCAGAAAAAUUACAUUUCUUAGGAAAUAAAACCCAAUCUGAG
rnacentral:lncRNA from 1 species